CCUACGGGGGGGCAGCAGUGGGGAAUAUUGCACAAUGGGGGGAACCCUGAUGCAGCGACGCCGCGUGGGUGAAGGAGUAUUUCGGUAUGUAAAGCCCUAUCAGCAGGGAAGAACAAUGACGGUACCUGACUAAGAAGCACCGGCUAAAUACGUGCCAGCAGCCGCGGUAAUACGUAUGGUGCAAGCGUUAUCCGGAUUUACUGGGUGUAAAGGGAGCGCAGGCGGGAAGCCAAGUCAGCUGUGAAAACUACGGGCUUAACUUGUAGACUGCAGUUGAAACUGGUUUUCUUGAGUGAAGUAGAGGUUGGCGGAAUUCCGAGUGUAGCGGUGAAAUGCGUAGAUAUUCGGAGGAACACCGGUGGCGAAGGCGGCCAACUGGGCUUUAACUGACGCUGAGGCUCGAAAGUGUGGGGAGCAAACAGGAUUAGAUACCCUUGUAGUC
rnacentral:rRNA from 1 species